CAUGUAGGCGGAUCGUCAAGUCAGGCGUGAAAGCCCCGGGCUCAACCUGGGAACUGCACCUGAAACUGGCGGUCUUGAGUGCUGGAGAGGGAAGCGGAAUUCCUGGUGUAGAGGUGAAAUUCGUAGAUAUCAGGAGGAACACCGGUGGCGAAGGCGGCUUCCUGGACAGUUACUGACGCUGAGAUGCAAAAGCGUGGGGAGCAAACA
rnacentral:rRNA from 1 species